GGCGGCCCCGAGCCAGGCCCGGGAGCGAGCCCCGCAGAAAUACAAUCCGACUGCGCGGCCGCGGGCGCCCAGCGGCUCUGGGACCCGCAGGGGGGCAGCAGUGCCAACCUUCUGCCGCGCCGGGAGAGAUGCGCGCGAGCCCCUCCGCUCUCUGCCCAGCCUUUCCUUCCAGCCUCGCUCGCGCCCCUGUCUCAAAGGCCUCAUAGGACUCCCAGAGUCUCCUAUAGUCGGGAGCCCCCAGCCCCCUUCCGGACAUGGAGUGAUUGGUGGGGAGGCGGCGGUUGGGAAAAGGGGGUCGGUCAACCGAUUGAUUCCAGUUUCCCCUUCCCAAGUCAGGCUCUCCAAGGUCUGGAAAUGCUCAGGGCGGAGGGGGAGACAUCGGGAGGCCUGGGACCUGCAGAAGCCUGAGAAAGUGAAGUUGGUGCCAAGGAGCGUGCGUUCUUUGUUUCUUCUUUUUUCCUUCGGAGCCCAGCUUGUAAAGAGUAGAAGAACCGGACAUUGGUGGAGGAAUUCAAACAAGAGAGCCCGGAGGCGUCCUCUGCUGUGGCCCAGAGCUAGCGCCUACUCCACGAAGCUCAGCUGGGGUUAACAGGCUUCUGUUAAAAUUUCCCGGGCACUGGGAAAAUUUCAGGUGCCUUCGCCUCGGUGGACUCCUUUCCCUGCUAACAAAAUUAUUAAAAAUAAGAUUUUGCAACUGCGUUGGCAUAAGGAAAAGUAUAUUAAUAUUGCAUAUUAAAACAUGUUCUUCAGCCUAAAGCUUUACUUAUUUUUUUCUGAUUUUAAAAGAAAUCAAAACAUUUUCAUGGGCCCCAAAAGACUAUGGUCCCUGGCACUGGGCCUGCGGUGCUUAAUGCAGAAGUCUACCCUGCGUGUCUGAUAUUUCUUCUGGGAAAUAAAGAGCUAGUGAGACCCUCCAUCUUUUGCCACAGUGCUUCUCUCUACUCUCUCUCGUGGUCCUACUUAGUCUGGUCCCCCACGGCUGCCUAGUCUUUCUGGUCCUUGAAGUCUAGGACUGUCACUCACUGAUUGCCAACUCUUUCCCAGGCGCACUCCCACCCCAAGGACACCCCUUGUGAUUGCUGUGGAAUAGGCAUAGCCACCGCAAAUAUAUCGUUACUUAUAUAUUCUCCUUUCACCUGCUUUGGAAGAAGAACCGUAAGCAUUUAUUAAAAAUGUCUG
rnacentral:lncRNA from 1 species